UGUGUAGAUGUAUUUGUGCAUGUGCGUGUGCGUGCACGCGCGCACGCACACACACAAACAUAAACAUACACAUGCAUUAAUAAAUAUUGUAAAA
rnacentral:miRNA from 1 species